AGCCGAAUGGAAUUGUCGAAGACAACGAGCCUCGUGUGUCGUGUCUCUUCUUUGCCCACGCCCCUUUUUACGUCGUCUGCUGAAGAAGUUUUCCAACAAGAAUGUGACUUAACAAAUAACAACUGCUUAACAAAUUAACGUAGAAGAAUGGAACAAAAAUCUUCCAUAAACAAAAACAGAUAUGGAGAGCUUCCAGCAUAAACUUUGCAUCAUUCAUCUCGUUCCUCUUCUGUCCUCGCGUACGUCUAUGUGAGCGCAAAGGUAUCCAUGGGGACGUCGUAUAUAUUCCGCUUCCACCUCCAGAAGUCACCACUGCUACCCUAAUGAUUCAUUUGGCCAUCAAGUUAAUAAGAAUUGGCAACACCUUGCCCAGCUUUGACAUCGCUUCGUCGACACCGACUUAAGACGCAUAGCCCAGUCAUUUCCACAAUUUCUACCAGCUGCUUCACGACGUUCGUUAUCGCUUCCACGUUUGCUUAAUUGAUUCUUAAGUUUCAACACCUGCACUUGGACCUACACUGACGUUCGGCAGGAUUUGAGUAGUUGUGAAAAGUGUUAUUUUCUUUCCUCGAGCACGAAGGAAGUACGCCAUACUCAUGCUGAUUGUAUUUGAUGCCAAGCAAGCUUUAAUGGUUAGAGGAAAGGCUCCUAAUCCUUGUUUGGCAACUGCUUGGUCGAAAUGGUGCUGUUGUUCAUCCAUGUCUGAAGACACAUAGUAGCCUGCACUUAAUUUUUACUAUCAUGUGUGAAUUGUUCAUCGAUGUUUGAAGGUGAGGGUUUUUUAUGUAGUCUGAAGAGUGUCUGAAGAUAUUUUGUAGUCAGCUAUUGACCAAAGAAGGGAAUUCAACAUUAUCGAUAAUCACAUUUAAAUUAUGUAGCAGUUCUAACUUGAGUUUGCUAUCUAUGUUACCUGCAAUUUGUCGCAAUGGUAUUUUUAUUUUGUAUCAGUAGUAAUGAAAUAUACAAACUAAAAUUGAUA